GGAAGAUGCACAGAACUUCCCCAACAUCCCCUCCCAAAUCGAUAUGGAACCUUCAAAAACACAUGGAGCAACUGCGAAAAGAAAUGGCUGAGGAUAUACUAAAAAUGUCUGAGUUCAACAAAGCCAACAACUGCUUCAUGUGUGCCACUGAUAAAGAACCUGGAUGUGGCCCAAAGACUGACUGGAUUGAAUGUUUUGCAUGCCAACGGUGGUUCCAUGUGCUGUGCCUAGGAAUGAAGACAAAAGAGUUCAACAGAGUAAAGAACACAAACUGGAAGUGCAGUCUUUGUUGUUGAAAAUGUAUGCUAUACCCCAUCCACACUGAAGAGGUUCUGAAAUGUACAUCAACCAGGGAU